GAUGAACGCUAGCGGCAGGCUUAACACAUGCAAGUCGAGGGGUAUUGGUUUUCGGACCAAGAGACCGGCGCACGGGUGCGUAACGCGUAUGCAAUCUACCUUUUCACAGAGGGAUAGCCCAGAGAAAUUUGGAUUAAUACCUCAUAGUAUAUAGAGUUGGCAUUCAACAUUAUAUUAAAGUCACAACGGUGAAAGAUGAGCAUGCGUCCCAUUAGCUAGUUGGUAAGGUAACGGCUUACCAAGGCAACGAUGGGUAGGGGUCCGUGAGAGGGAGAUCCCCCACACUGGUACUGAGACACGGCCCAGACUCCUACGGGAGGCAGCAGUGGGGAAUAUUGGACAAUGGGGGCGAACCCUGAUCCAGCCAUGCCGCGUGAGUGAUGAAGGCCUUGGGUUGUAAAGCUCUUUGUCAGGGAAGAAACGGUGAGAGCUAAUACUCUUC
rnacentral:rRNA from 1 species